UGACUGGGAGUAAUAGAUGGGAGUACUGGAAGUGCUGAUAUAAGCAAUCCACUCUAGUCCUUUUCCAGGAGCCUGUCUGAUCCAGGAGAAACGCUGGCUGCUGAAUGAGAAUCCAGAGGCUGUACAGUAAUACACGGCUGUGUCCUCGGUCUUUAGACUGUUCAUCUGCAGAAAAACCUUACUGCUGGAGUCAUCUCUGGAGAUGGUGAAUCGGCCCUGGACUGACUGGGAGUAAAAGAUGGGAGUACUGGAUGUGUGCACCAAGGCGAUCCACUCCAGUCCUUUACCAGGAGCCUGUCUGAUCCAGUUCCACACUUCUCCCCCGAAGUUAAAUCCAGAUGUUGUGCAGAUGGUGAACCAGCUUUUAAUGGACUUAGAGUACAGUGCUGUGCCACCGGUGCUGAUAUAAGAAAUCCACUCCAGUCUUUUUCCAACUGCCUGUUUGAUCCAGUUCGUCUCUUAGCUGCUGAAUGUGAAUCCAGAGGUUGUGCUGGUCAGUCUGUUAGAUUCUCAAAGCUGUUUAACAACUGGUUCAAACUGUGUCAGAGUCUAUCCAGAGUCUCACGUUAACCUAAGUGUCCACCGUUCUGUCAUCACUGCAGUCAGAUAUGUAGAGGUGGAAGAUAUUUGAGUUUCCCAUUGACUCCUUCUCACAGGACAGGUGGUGGAGAAAAGACACUGACUUGGUUUUCAGUUCUCACCACUUGAGUACAAAUAAGUGAAAGUUUACUGAGCAGCAGCAGUAAUUCUCAUGUGCUACUGUUGCUGAAAUUGAUGAAUAUCUUAAUUAAUUGGUUGUCUUUAUUAUUAAGCACUUAGUGUUUCAAGCUAAAUUAAAGGGAAAAUGUCAAUUUAAAUUCAGAGAUAAGCUCCAUUUAUAACAGAGAAAUCAUGUAUUAACUGAUAUAAUCUGUCUUCUUUUUAAAGAUAAAAUUUGAAGAGAUUGAAAUAUUUUCAUAAUUUAGAUGGAUUUACACAAUAUAAAAAUGUUUUUUCAUAUGAUGAAUUUUGCUGUGUUUAGUUUAUCUGGAACGUCUGUUGACUAAAACAUUUUAUUUUAAAAUGGUCCUGAACAUGUGGCCAGUCUUAGAGCUCCUCCUCUGAUGCUACCAGAAACUGAACUAAUGUGAACCCUGCUGUCCUCUCACUGCCACACCUGACACACUCUUCAUAUUCAAUUUAUUUGUAUGUUUUGAGAUACAGCUAUAGAAAAAAUAUUAGGCUAAAAUUAAAUUUCAUGCAUAAUAAAAUAAAGAUUGUUUUGAGUUUCUGUCCUAAAGCUUAGAAAUGUUUUCAUCCAGCUAGUUAACUCCAGGGCUGCUAGGUUUUCUGGUACUAACAGGUUGGUUUUACUACUAAUAAAUUCAUGUUUAUUAUGUUUGCAGUAAAGUUGUUUUCUUACAAAUACAGUGAAGUGAACUAUGAAACUUUUACUGUUUGUAACAUGAUCCAUUGUUAACAAUCAGUCUUUAAGAUGAGAUAUUUUUAAACACUGAAUCGCUUCACUGCCUCUCACACACACACGCGAGUGUGUUGAUCAGUUUUUGUUCUGUGUUUCUGCUUCUUGUGUCACUGUGGCUCUUUUGCACAAUAAUAAACUGCAGAAUCGUCUUGUUUGAGACUCUUCACUGUCAAAAACACACGAUUCUGGGAAGAGUCUUUGGUGAUGGAAAACUGGCCUUGGAGACUUUGAGCAAAUAUUGUACCAGUCCCACUAUCAAUGUAUCCGAUCCAUUCUAGUCCUUCCUGGUUUCUGCCAGAUCCAGUGCAGCCAAGCAAGAGAAAGUCCUUGUACUUUACAGGACAGAGUGACUGAUUCUCCUGGUCUGUGGACCACUGGCUCAGAGGAGGUGAGGGACUGACCCCGAGCAGCUGAAAGAAACACAGUUUAGAUGACAGCAGACAUUAGAAAGUUAUUUUCUUCCCCUCAGCAGGACACAGACUCACCUGAAAUUAGAGCCAAGAUGAAAACACUUUGUACAGCUCUCAUGGUGACUACUGGGACUGCAGCUGGAAAUCCUGAUGUGAAGGAUAUACAGAUAGUUGGAGGGGGAGGAGACUGGAUUUACAUUUUUAUUUGUAUUAGAGUUUAGAGUUAAAUUGCUGAAAUAUAAGAGUGGUAAAGAUUUAGGUUCAGUCUGCAGAAGAAUGAUGCAUCAUUCAGAAAACAGAUUGCAGUUCAUAAUUUCUUCAGAUAUUUUCUACUUUUAACAGUUUUUUUGCCAAAGUUUCUGUGAUUAUUAAGUAAAUUAAACAUUUUUUAAUGUCACUGAUUAAUAAUAACUUAGAAAUGUAUAUUUAUAGACUAAAUGACUCCAUUGUGAAAGUAAAGAAAGAAUCUUUCUGCGAGUACCUGAAGCUGCAAGUAAUGGAAACAUAAUUUUUACUCUAAGUUUUGGCUCAGGUCAGA